UUGUUGGUAAGGUAAAAGCUUACCAAGGCUUCGAUCAGUAGCUGGUCUGAGAGGACGACCAGCCACACUGGGACUGAGACACGGCCCAGACUCCUACGGGAGGCAGCAGUGGGGAAUUUUGGACAAUGGGGGCAACCCUGAUCCAGCCAUGCCGCGUGAGUGAAGAAGGCRUUCGUUGUAAAGCUCUUUCAGCCGGAACGAAACGGUUACGGAUAACACCCGUGACUACUGACGGUACCGGAAGAAGAAGCACCGGCUAACUACGUGCCAGCAGCCGCGGUAAUACGUAGGGUGCGAGCGUUAAUCGGAAUUACUGGGCGUAAAGCGUGCGCAGGUGGUUUUGUAAGUCAGAUGUGAAAGCCCCGGGCUCAACCUGGGAACUGCGUUUGAAACUACAAGACUAGAGUGUGGCAGAGGGGGGUGGAAUUCCGCGUGUAGCAGUGAAAUGCGUAGAGAUGUGGAGGAACACCGAUGGCGAAGGCAGCCCCCUGGGUCAACACUGACGCUCAGGCACGAAAGCAUGGGGAGCAAACAGGAUUAGAUACCCUGGUAGCCCAUGCCCCAAACGAUGUCAACUAGUUGUCGGGCCUUUACGGGCUUGGUAACGUAGCUAACGCGUGAAGUUGACCGCCUGGGGAGUACGAUCGCAGGAUUAAAACUCAAAUGAAUUGACGGGGACCCGCACAAGCGGUGGAUUAUGUGGAUUAAUUCGAUGCAACGCGAAAAACCUUACCUACCCUUGACAUGUAUCGAAGCCCGCAGAAAAGCGGGGGUGCCCGAAAGGGAACGAUAACACAGGUGCUGCAUGGCUGUCGUCAGCUCGUGUCGUGAGAUGUUGGGUUAAGUCCCGCAACGAGCGCAACCCUUGUCAUUAAUUGCCAUCAUUUAGUUGGGCACUUUAAUGAGACUGCCGG
rnacentral:rRNA from 1 species